rnacentral:tRNA from 2 species
GCCCACAUGGCUCAGUGGUAGAGCACUUCCUUGGUAAGGAAGAGGUCACCGGUUCGAUCCCGGUUGUGGGCU